rnacentral:rRNA from 1 species
AUAAGCGGAGGAAAAGAAACCAACAGGGAUUGCCUCAGUAACGGCGAGUGAAGCGGCAAAAGCUCAAAUUUGAAAUCCUUCGGGAGUUGUAAUUUGUAGGUUGGGAGACCCCGCGGCUAGUGGCACCAAGUCCCUUGGAACAGGGCGCCUUAGAGGGUGAGAGCCCCGUAGGUACCACAAUACCGUCUUGUGUCUCCUCUCCAAAGAGUCGAGUUGUUUGGGAAUGCAGCUCAAAGUGGGUGGUAAAUUCCAUCUAAAGCUAAAUACCGGCGAGAGACCGAUAGCGAACAAGUACAGUGAUGGAAAGAUGAAAAGCACUUUGAAAAGAGAGUGAAACAGUACGUGAAAUUGUUGAAAGGGAAGGGCUUGCAAGCAGACACGGCCUUCGUGCCGGGCCAGCAUCGGUUGCUAGGGGUGGAUAAGGAACAAGGAAUGUAGCUCCUCGGAGUAUUAUAGCCUUGCGCGAUACACCCACUGGCGACCGAGGCCUGCG